rnacentral:tRNA from 1 species
GCUCAGCGCUGUCAAUAGCUCAGUCAACAGAGCCCGAGACUCUGAAUCUCAGGGUUGUGGGUUUGAGCCCCACGUUGGGCA